UGGCCCGUGAUUAUUUUAACGGCCGCGGUAUCUUAACCGUGCAAAGGUAGCAUAAUCAAUUGUCCCUUAAAUCGGGACUAGUAUGAACGGCACCACGAGGGUUUAACUGUCUCCCCCUUUUAAUCAAUGAAAUUAAUCUUCCCGUGAAGAACCGGGAAUACAACUAUAAGACGAGAAGACCCCGUGGAGCUUUAAACUUAUUGCCACUUAUUUAUUAAUACAACAUCCUACCAGAUAAAAAUGUCUCAAAUAGUUUUUGGUUGGGGCGACCCUGGAGAAAAGCAAAUCCUCCAGAUCGAAAGGUUUAACUACCCUUAUACGAGAACCACAAUUCAAAUAAACAAAAAUUUGACAAAACUGACCCAGAAUUAACUGAUCAGUGA
rnacentral:rRNA from 1 species